GAUGAACGCUGGCGGCGUGCCUAAUACACGCAAGUCGAGCGAACGGACGAGAAGCUUGCUUCUCUGAUGUUAGCGGCGGACGGGUGAGUAACACGUGGAUAACCUACCUAUAAGACUGGGAUAACUUCGGGAAACCGGAGCUAAUACCGGAUGAUAUUUUGAACCGCAUGGUUCAAAAGUGAAAGACGGUCUUGCUGUCACUUAUAGAUGGAUCCGCGCUGCAUUAGCUAGUUGGUAAGGUAACGGCUUACCAAGGCAACGAUGCAUAGCCGACCUGAGAGGGUGAUCGGCCACACUGGAACUGAGACACGGUCCAGACUCCUACGGGAGGCAGCAGUAGGGAAUCUUCCGCAAUGGGCGAAAGCCUGACGGAGCAACGCCGCGUGAGUGAUGAAGGUCUUCGGAUCGUAAAACUCUGUUAUUAGGGAAGGACAUAUGUGUAAGUAACUGUGCACAUCUUGACGGUACCUAAUCAGAAAGCCACGGCUAACUACGUG
rnacentral:rRNA from 1 species